CACAGUCCCUCCUACCGCGAGCCCGGACAGACAUACGCUUAUUAUCCUAGCAGGGUAUCUGAUGACCGGCAGGGCAUGAGAUCUACCUAGAUCUCAAGCUUGAACCACAACCAAAAACCACCCACAGGGCUACACCAAUCAGAGGUCAUAGAUGAGCUGUCCCAGAGGAAAAUGCAAGUCAGUAGUGGAGUUGAGAGUUACAUCACUGCCCUUCUUAUUAUAGCUCUGAACACUGCAUGGGAUCCUUAUUUCAGAUGAGCAGAUGGGUGUACCAGAGGACCACAGACUCCGCCCCUCCCUGAUUAUGAACCUGACACACCUGGGAGGUCCCAGAGGCCAAAAGGGGGGCCUGGAAGACCACGGAGAGAUAGGCUUGAGAGACAGAGGCAUGGGAGACGAGGUGGCAAAAAUGGUGGAGUGAACUGUGUCAGGCGUUGGCGGCUGCAAGCCCGGACGGGGGGCGAUGAAGGUUGCCGUGCAGGACUUGGGAGGAGACGACGCCAGCGAGCAGAGAAGCGAAGGGAGCUGUUCUGCUGCUGGAAUAACUGGAGGCCAGAUCACGGUGGGGAAUCAGUGGCCAGAGGGACAGCGCCCUACCUCCCACGGUAAGACGGGCUGGUGCCGGCUGGCGUGCUACAGGAAAGCGGCGGGCAGAGUUAAGAGCUCUGCCCAUCCGGGGUAGGUCUCGCGUCUUAUCGCACUAUAAUCAACUGUAGCCACAAUAAAGAAUAGUGACUGUCGCUGCCCCUCUCUUCCAGCACUCUGGAGCGGAAACGCUGACAGGACGGCGAGGACGCUGCCGGGUUUUUCCUUGUCCACUCCGAUUGUCUGGAUUUUUUAACUUUUAGUGACU